UUCUGGCUCAGGAUUAACGCUGGCGGCGUGCCUAAUACAUGCAAGUCGAAUGGUAGCAAUACCAUGGCGAACGGGUGAGGUAACACGUAGGUUAACCUGGUCUUUAAGCCGAGGAUAACCAUUGGAAACGAUGGAUAAUACUGGAUAGGACAUUUGAAGGCAUCUUUUAAUGUUUAAAGAUUUAUCACUUAGAGAGGGGCCUGCGGCGCGAUUAGCUAGUUGGUGAGGUGAAGGCUUACCAAGGCGAUGAUGCGUAGCCGGACUGAGAGGUUGAACGGCCACAAUGGAACUGAGAAUGGUCCAUACUCCUACGGGAGGCAGCAGUAGGGAAUUUUCGGCAAUGGGCGGAAGCCUGAACCCGAGCAACGCCGCGUGAACGAAGAAGUAUUUCGGUAUGUAAAGUUCUUUUAUUAGGGACGAAAAGACAGAUUGACGGUACCUAAUGAAUAAGCUCCGGCUAACUACGUGCCAGCCGCUGC
rnacentral:rRNA from 1 species